rnacentral:lncRNA from 1 species
AGUCACCCAUUUUCAUUUCUAUUCCGAUUCUAGAUCCCCACUCCCUCCAACCAAGCAUCCUUUAAAAUUAUAUCAUAUUAAUAUUUAUUUUCCUACAACAGGCGGGUCUAAUGAAUUUCCAGUUAUCUGGUGAAAACAAUAGUGUGGAUGCCUUCAUUAGGGGUGGCAAUCGGGUCAUAAAGAGAUUGGAUCAAUACGGAUCGGGUCAGAAAAUCAUCAA